rnacentral:rRNA from 1 species
GACGAACGCUGGCGGCGUGCUUAACACAUGCAAGUCGAACGGUAAGGCUCCAGCUUGCUGGGGUACACGAGUGGCGAACGGGUGAGUAACACGUGGGUGACCUGCCCUGCACUUCGGGAUAAGCCUGGGAAACUGGGUCUAAUACCGGAUAGGACCGCACCGUGAGGGUGUGGUGGAAAGUUUUUUCGGUGUGGGAUGGGCCCCCGGCCUAUCAGCGUGUUGGUGGGGUAAUGGCCUACCAAGGCGGCGACGGGUAGCCGGCCUGAGAGGGUGGACGGCCACCAUGGGCCUGAGGCACGGGCCAGACUCCUACGGGAGGCAGCAGUGGGGAAUAUUGCACAAUGGGCGGAAGCCUGAUGCAGCGACGCCGCGUGGGGGAUGACGGCCUUCGGGUUGUAAACUCCUUUCACCAUCGACGAAGGGUUUCUGACGGUAGAUGGAGAAGAAGCACCGGCUAACUACGUG